UCGGUGGUAGCGUUUGUUACGGUGUUGCUGUGGGGCGAGGUGCUCUCAGACACCACAGUCACCAUCUACAACGAGUGGCUGUCCCAAGGUGGACGUGUUCAUUAUGAGGUGGACAGAUGGAAUAAACACAACGGUCUCGACAGGUCUAGUCUUUUCUCAAAGCUUAAAGCUAUAGGUACCAUGACAGGACGGUGGCUCAACAGAGAUUUAAAUGGAGGCCUCUUUGAGAAUUGGCACCAAAACCCAUCUCACCAUGGUUACCCAGAUCCCCACUACCUUCAAGACCAAAGUCUGAAGAAGAGGACUUGGGACUACUAUAUGGAGCAGGUCCAUGCUUAUGGAAGCGGCAUAAAGAAUAUGGUGUGGGAAAUAAAAGGUCUCAGCUGGCCCAGUUGAAUUGACAAGUCCCACCAUGGAGGAAAGUUCCCCAAUAACCUAGAUGCGGCGGCCGAGUUUGUGUCCUUGAUGGUUCAGAGUGCCAAGGAUUACACUGGAGGUCAUUUGCCUGCAUUCUUUGAAGUCAUGAACGAACCCGACGCUUCUUAUAAGAUCCUCGACUCAACGACUGUGAUAAACUUUCACAAAGCUGUGGCACAAAAGCUAAAAUCAAGAUUUGGGAUCAAAGUUGGAGGCCCAACAUACACUGGCUAUACGAUCAGAGCAGAUGCAAAUAAUUUCAGCGUGUGGAAAAGAAUGGCACAGUUUAUGGACAUGUCUCUGGAUCACAUGGAUUUCUUUUCCUUCCAUGCUUACAACGAUCUCCA